CCCCUCUCUCUUUUCUUUCUCUCUCAUUUUCUGGAAAUUCUCUUCUAAAUUAACCACCCCCGGGGAGUAUGGGCAUGAAAAUGUGACUUUGGUGCAGUAUGUUGCGAAUUCUUCGCAUUUUAAAUUCAAUUAUGACAACACAAA
ensembl:ncRNA C09B7.7 ncRNA